UUACGACCACAUCACGUUGAGACACCUGUCUCGUACGAUCACCGAAGUUAAGUAACGUCGAGCUUGGUCAGUACCUAGACGGGUGACCGCUUUGGAAUAUCAGGUGCUGUAAGC